ACCGUUGAAGCACCAGUUCUCGCACGAUCACCGAAGUUAAGCAACGUCGAGCCUGGUUAGUACCUAUAUGGGCGGCGGUCUAGGAAUACCGGGUGUUAUAU